UACGUAGGGUCCGAGCGUUGUCCGGAAUUAUUGGGCGUAAAGGGCUCGUAGGCGGUCUGUUGCGUCGGGAGUGAAAACUUACAGCUUAACUGUGAGCGUGCUUCCGAUACGGGCAGACUUGAGGUAUUCAGGGGAGAACGGAAUUCCUGGUGUAGCGGUGAAAUGCGCAGAUAUCUGGAGGAACACCGGUGGCGAAGGCGGCAUCCUGGACCGAUACUGACGCUGAGGAGCGAAAGCCAGGGGAGCAAACGGG
rnacentral:rRNA from 1 species